AGUAAUAUAUCGGAACGUAUCCAAUAAUGGGGGAUAACUAGUCGAAAGAUUAGCUAAUACCGCAUACGCCCUGAGGGGGAAAACUGGGGAUCCUCGGACCUAGCGUUAAUGGAGCGGCCGAUAUCUGAUUAGCUAGUAGGUGAGGUAAGAGCUCACCUAGGCGACGAUCAGUAGCUGGUCUGAGAGGACGACCAGCCACACUGGAACUGAGACACGGUCCAG
rnacentral:rRNA from 1 species